GCGGCCGACGCGGCGCGGCGGCGCCCUGAAUGGCGGAUGGCGGCAAAUGGCGGAGGCAGAUGCAGUGCAGAUGGCAGAAGAAGUUUGGAGUCUCGAAGUUCGCUGCUGCCGAGGUUCAACACGUUGGAAAUAUCGGGACCGGCAUCACGGUGAGCUGCUGGGAAACCGGCUCGGCAGUUGUGGUGGUGACCCCUAUCAUGUGGCAGGCCCUGGACAUCCUCUUGCGACAGAACUGAGCGCACCGCCACAGUAGCAAUGAUGGCUGGCGCUGUCCUCAUGGACAGUGAACAGAGCGUCGAGGGGUACUCGGUAGCUUUCAAACUUCUCAGCGAAACCCAUCUGCUCUUGUUUGGGGAGUCAAUUCGCACAAGAGCCCCACUUGCGGUGGCUGGACGUCAUGAAGGAACACAAUCCGACAUACCUAGAGAUUAAUCAAUGCCGUGGGGAUGAGCUGGACCGUGUAAUGAACAAGACCGACGUGACUGGGCUAUGCUCACAUUUGAAGCAGUGCAGUUUCCACUUGAUUACUUCCAUAAUCAUUGAAAACCCGUAGAUGUCUGAGGACAUACUCUCACCCCAUAAUGGGCCAGUUGAGGAGGUUACCCUUCGACGCACUUAGUAAGGCGCAGAAUAUUAUGCUGCUGCGCUACAGGGUCCGAUCGAAAAAAGUAAACCCUCCUUUUCGGCCCUCAUAAAAAGACUGUGCAUAGCAGAACGCUCAAACUCCGCCAGAAUGUAACCCUAGCAGUCUGAGCAAGAUGCCAAAGUUUCAGAAUGUGACGUCAUUGAAUUUGAAAGUUAGUAGGAAUUUUCUGAAAAUCUCAAUAGGAAAAUGGGGUCGCGUCCCAGUAGCGUCUCCCAUUCAUCUCCAUGUAAUCGCGAGCUCUGCGAGCCUCCAUUCUCACAUUGAAAAUUUCCGGUAAUCAUGCAUAAAUAUUCAAUUCGAUGACGCUACUUUCUGAAACUUUGGCAUCUUGCUGAGAUCGCCAAGGUUACAUUCGCGUGGAGUUUCGGCAUUCGGCGAUACAUAGUUUGUCUAUGCAGGCCAAAAGUAAGGGUUUACCUUUCUCGAUUGCACCCUGUAGUUUGAAAAGUGUUUGAUGUGUGAAAACGUGCCUGGAGCAUGGGGACCUUCAAACCACUACUAUAUACUGUACUGUUCUACAUUUAAUCUUGAAAGCGUUUCCUGUUUUGAAAUAAAAGCUUCACUUGUGUGUGAGGUAUGUGCUCUUAUUCCCUCUUCAUGGCUUGUUCCCCCUCGCCGUAGAAGUCUUCGUGGUGCUGGACAACUGACAUUUUCCUCCACAGUAACUUCAACCUCACGGGUAGGAAGAGUGAUCAGAGCAAUGUUAUGUGUGCCUACUCUCAUGAGGAACAUGGAAAGCAG
rnacentral:lncRNA from 1 species